CUACGUGCCAGCAGCCGCGGUAAUACGGAGGGUGCGAGCGUUAUUCGGAAUUACUGGGCGUAAAGCGCACGCAGGCGGUUGCUCAAGUCAGAUGUGAAAGCCCCGGGCUUAACCUGGGAACUGCAUUUGAAACUGGGCGACUAGAGUAUGAAAGAGGAAAGCGGAAUUUCCAGUGUAGCAGUGAAAUGCGUAGAUAUUGGAAGGAACACCGAUGGCGAAGGCAGCUUUCUGGGUCGAUACUGACGCUCAUGUGCGAAAGCGUGGGGAGCAAACAGGAUUAGAUACCCUGGUAGUCCACGCCCUAAACGAUGUCAACUAGGUGUUGGGUUGUUAAAGACUCGGUACCGGAGCUAACGCAUUAAGUUGACCGCCUGGGGAGUACGGCCGCAAGGUUGAAACUCAAAGAAAUUGACGGGGACCCGCACAAGCGGUGGAGCAUGUGGUUUAAUUCGAUGCAACGCGAAGAACCUUACCAGGCCUUGACAUCC
rnacentral:rRNA from 1 species